rnacentral:ncRNA from 1 species
UAACGCGUUAAGCAUCCCGCCUGGGAAGUACGGCCGCAAGGCUAAAACUUAAAGGAAUAGACGGGACUCCGCACAAGCGGUGGAUCAUGUGGUUUAAUUCGACGCUAAGCGAAGAACCUUACCAGGGUUUGAAAUGUUAAGUUGUAGAUUGGCCGAAAGGUUAAUUGACCGUCAAAUCGGAACUUAAUACAGGUGCUGCAUGGUUGUCGUCAGCUCGUGCCGUGAGGUGUACCGUUAAGUCGGGAAACGAGCGCAACCCCUACUGUUAGUUGCCACCCCCUUGUGCUUCGCACAAGGAAAUUCGAAAUACGAAUAGGCCGAAUUAAAUUCGGCCAACUAAGGUUGACGAAAUCCUAAACAAUAUGCCUACUCCGCCGAAGUAGCUUCGGCUACGAAGGCCGGGCAAAAUUCUAAUGUUCCAAAUUCAAGAAAUUUUUGUUUUGGUCAUUUGAAUUUAGAAUUUGAGAUUUGUUUCGAAUUUCGGAUUUAAAAUUUCGGAUUUUCUCGCGCGAAGCGUGAGGAGAGCACUCUAGCAGGACCUAGUAACCGUAUAUCAGCUAUGGUACGGUGAAUACGUUCCCGGAGUUUGUACUCACUGCCCGUCAAGCCAAGGAAGUCGGUAAUACCCGAAAACCUGCGUUCGUGGGGAUAAGGUAGGACUGGUAACAGGGGCUAAGUCGUAACAAGGCAUCCGUAGCGGAAGCUGUGGAUGGAUCACCUCAUUU